rnacentral:rRNA from 1 species
GCAAGUCGAGCGGUAACAGAGAUAGCUUGCUAUCUGCUGACGAGCGGCGGACGGGUGAGUAAUGCUUGGGAAUAUGCCUUGAGGUGGGGGACAACAGUUGGAAACGACUGCUAAUACCGCAUAAUGUCUACGGACCAAAGGAGGGGAUCUUCGGACCUUUCGCCUUUAGAUUAGCCCAAGUGAGAUUAGCUAGUAGGUAAGGUAAUGGCUUACCUAGGCGACGAUCUCUAGCUGGUUUGAGAGGAUGAUC